rnacentral:rRNA from 1 species
ACGUAGGGUCCAAGCGUUAAUCGGAAUUACUGGGCGAAAAGCGUGAGCAGGCGGGUGUGUAAGACCGGUGUGAAGAUCCCGGGCGUUAACUGGGAAGUGCAUUGGUGACUGCACGGCUAGAGGGUGUCAGAGGGGGGUAGAAUUCCACGUGUAGCAGUGAAAUGCGUAGAGAUGUGGAGGAAUACCGAUGGCGAAGGCAGCCCCCUGGGAUAACACUGACGCUCAUGCACGAAAGCGUGGGGAGCAAACAG